AUUGAACGCUGGCGGCGUGCUUAACACAUGCAAGUCGUGCGGUAACAGGCGUAGCAAUACGUGCUGACGAGCGGCGAACGGGUGCGUAAUACAUGGGAAUCUGCCUUUUAGUGGGGAAUAACCCGGCGAAAGCCGGGCUAAUGCCGCAUAAGAUCUUCGGAUGAAAGCGGGGGAUCGUAAGACCUCGCGCUGAUAGAUGAGCCCAUGCCGGAUUAGCUAGNGGUGAGGUAACGGCUCACCAAGGCGACGAUCCGUAGCUGGUCUGAGAGGACAGCCAGCCACACUGGGACUGAGACACGGCCCAGACUCCUACGGGAGCAGCAGUGGGGAAUAUUGGACAAGUGGGGGAACCCUGAUCCAGCGACGCCGCGUGUGUGAAGAA
rnacentral:rRNA from 1 species